rnacentral:rRNA from 1 species
UGGGGAAUCUUGGACAAUGGGGGCAACCCUGAUCCAGCAAUGCCGCGUGUGGGAUGAAGGCCUUCGGGUUGUAAACCACUUUUGGCGGGGGCGAAAUAUCGAGUGCUAAUACCAUUCGGUGAUGACGGUACCCGCAGAAUAAGCACCGGCUAACUACGUGCCAGCAGCCGCGGUAAUACGUAGGGUGCAAGCGUUAAUCGGAAUUACUGGGCGUAAAGCGUGCGCAGGCGGUUAGGUAAGACAGGUGUGAAAUUCCCGGGCUCAACCUGGGAACUGCAUUUGUGACUGCCUGACUAGAGUGCGGCAGAGGGGAGUGGAAUUCCGCGUGUAGCAGUGAAAUGCGUAGAUAUGCGGAGGAACACCGAUGGCGAAGGCAACUCCCUGGGCCUGCACUGACGCUCAUGCACGAAAGCGUGGGGAGCAAACAGGAUUAGAUACCCUGGUAGUCCACGCCCUAAAACGAUGUCGACUAGUUGUUGGACGGGUUACUGUUCAGUAACGAAGCUAACGCGUGAAGUCG